AUUGAACGCUGGCGGCAGGCCUAACACAUGCAAGUCGAACGGCAGCGGGGGAUAGCUUGCUAUCCUGCCGGCGAGUGGCGGACGGGUGAGUAAUGCCUGGGGAGCUGCCCAAUCGAGGGGGAUACCAACUGGAAACGGUUGCUAAUACCGCAUACGCCCUGCGGGGGAAAGGUGGGGACCUUCGGGCCUACCGCGAUUGGAUGCACCCAGGUGGGAUUAGCUGGUUGGUGAGGUAACGGCUCACCAAUGCGACGAUCUCUAGCUGGUCUGAGAGGAUGACCAGCCACACUGGAACUGAGACACGGUCCAGACUCCUACGGGAGGCAGCAGUGGGGAAUAUUGCACAAUGGGGGAAACCCUGAUGCAGCCAUGCCGCGUGUGUGAAGAAGGCCUUCGGGUUGUAAAGCACUUUCAGUGGGGAGGAAGGGGCGAUGCCUAAUACGCAUUGUCAUUGACGUUACCCACAGAAGAAGCACCGGCUAACUCCGUGCCAGCAGCCGCAGUAA
rnacentral:rRNA from 1 species